GGUUGUCUGCCACCGGGUAGGCAACAGAAGCGUCAGACUUUCUAUCGUUAGGUCUCAGAAGAUGGAAAGCCUGACCUUUUUUAUGU
rnacentral:ncRNA from 1 species